rnacentral:tRNA from 3 species
GCCGGUGUGGCGAAAUGGCAGACGCAGCUGACUCAAAAUCAGCCGGGAUACUCUCCCGUGUCGGUUCGACUCCGACCACCGGCA